rnacentral:rRNA from 1 species
CCUACGGGGAGCAGCAGUUGGGAAUAUUGCACAAUGGGGGAAACCCUGAUGCAGCGACGCCGCGUGAGUGAAGAAGUAUUUCGGUAUGUAAACCUCUAUCAGCAGGGAAGAAACCCACCCUCCGGGGUGGCUGACGGUACCUGACUAAGAAGCCCCGGCUAACUACGUGCCAGCAGCCGCGGUAAUACGUAGGGGGCAAGCGUUAUCCGGAUUUACUGGGUGUAAAGGGAGCGUAGGUGGCAAGGCAAGUCAGAUGUGAAAACCCGGGGCCCAACCCCGGGAGUGCAUUUGAAACUGUCUGGCUAGAGUGCAGGAGAGGUAAGUGGAAUUCCUAGUGUAGCGGUGAAAUGCAUAGAUAUUAGGAGGAACACCAGUGGCGAAGGCGGCUUACUGGACUGUAACUGACACUGAGGCUCGAAAGCGUGGGGAGCAAACAGGAUUAGAUACCCGUGUAGUC